UACGUAGGUGGCAAGCGUUGUCCGGAAUUAUUGGGCGUAAAGGGCGCGUAGGCGGCUGUACAAGUCAAAGGUGAAAUCCCUCGGCUCAACUGAGGAACUGCCUUUGAAACUGUACGGCUUGAGGCCGGGAGGGGGUAGCGGAAUUCCCAGUGUAGCGGUGAAAUGCGUAGAUACUGGGAGGAACACCAGUGGCGAAGGCGGCUACCUGGACCGGUUCUGACGCUGAGGCGCGAAAGCGUGGGUAGCAAACAGG
rnacentral:rRNA from 1 species